CAGCCGCCGCGGUAAUACGUAGGUGGCAAGCGUUGUCCGGAAUUAUUGGGCGUAAAGCGUGCGCAGGCGGUUGUGUAAGACAGGUGUGAAAUCCCCGGGCUUAACCUGGGAACUGCGCUUGUGACUGCACAGCUAGAGUAUGGCAGAGGGGGGUGGAAUUCCACGUGUAGCAGUGAAAUGCGUAGAGAUGUGGAGGAACACCGAUGGCGAAGGCAGCCCCCUGGGCCAAUACUGACGCUCAUGCACGAAAGCGUGGGGAGCAAACAGGAUUAGAUACCCCUGUAGUCCCUGUCUCUUAUAC
rnacentral:rRNA from 1 species